AAACUCACCAGGUCAGGACACGGUAAGGAUUGACGGACUGAAGGCUCUUUCUCGAUUCCGUGGAAAGUGGUGCAUGGCCGUUUUUGGUUGGUGGAUCGAUCCGUCUGGUUAAUUCCGUUAACGAACGAGACCUCGGCACUCCGAAUAGCGCGGCGGACGUCGCGGCCUCCGGGGCCGUCUUCCGCACGAGCUUCUUAGAGGGACCGUCCCCCGCCGGGGAAGGAGGUGCGAGGCAACGACAGGUCUGUGAUGCCCUUAGAUGUUCUGGGCCGCACGCGCAUUACACUGACGCGUCCAACGGGUGACUCCCGACCCGAAGGGGCCGGGGAAUCCGCAAGGCGCGUCGUGAUGGGGAUUGAACGUUGCAAUUGUUGUUCACGAACGAGGAAUUCCUAGUAGGCGCGGGUCAUCAACCCGCGCCGAUUACGUCCCUGCCCUUUGUAC
rnacentral:rRNA from 1 species